rnacentral:misc_RNA from 1 species
UUCUUUCCAUGAUUGAAGUUUUGGUUGUUUUUUCAGUUUUUAAUCCUUCCAUUUGCUGUCCAAACAGUAAAGAUGUAACAGAAAGCAUGAGUAGUA